CCUAAAAAUUAAGUAAAAGAAGAAAACUUUUAGUUGUAAUUAUGCAACAAAAAAUAAAUAACUGAUAGAUAUAAUAUCACAGAUAUACCCUUUGAAAACAAAAAAAAGUUUUCCAGUGGUGCCUGCUGGUGUAAUGCUUGCAGUAUUUAACAUGGAGUUUAUUUAUUUGCAUCUUUGUGUUACUGCAGUGAAUAAUAGGGAAACAAAACAGAUCAGGAUGAAAAUACUCUUUAAUUCACUUAGUUUUUCAGAGUACUUGUAUGCUUUCUUAUAUAUACACACAGAGUCCCCACUGAAAUCAGCUGCACUUGAAGCACUAUGAACUUUUCCAAGCCAGGCUGGAGAUCUUAAUUCAGGCACAGAGAAGAAUCUAAAAAUGCCAAUUAAAGUAUAAACCAGAUUUUUCCCAAGUUGAAUUAUUUCCAGAUAGUCAAAGAAACACUGUGAACAUUGACUCUCGGCUUUUGCACUUCUUUGCACUCCUGGUUUAAAUGUUUCCAUCCUACCCUCGGCUCUCACUUCACUAUUUCAUCUUCUCCCACUCAGAGUGUUCCCUCUCUGUGCACAUUUGCCCCACUGAUACUCAGUCUCUAUUUCCUUGCCACGCUGACUCUCAUUCUUGUAAAUCUGAACCUGUUCUGGACUCAUUUACUGUUCCUUUCUGUUUCCAGUCCCUGAGGCCUUAACCUUUCCUCUGCUUCCUCUAACCUCAUCCUCCCAUCCCUUCUUGGCUCCAUGCCUUCAUAUCAGACACUGCUGCUCUGGGCCAAACAGCAGAAUCUCAGGACUGAACCUUCAGAGUCACUGCUGCUGUUCCAGUAACCAGACAGAGCAAAAGACAGAUCUGCAAUUACAGAGUGCUGGAGGGCAGCCUGCGUGACACUGAAAGAGGUUCGGCAGUAUUUAGCUUAAGUCUCUCCUGAACAAAUAUAGACUGGUUUGUUUUUGGCAUUGGGUAGAUUUGUGUAGGAGUGGCAGUGACCCUUGAGCCUGCCUUAUUCUGAAUUCUGUUCCUAAAUCUUAUGUCACAAAAACUUCUAAAAAGGAGAGUCCUGAAAAAAAAAAAUUGAUUGGAGAAAACAACUGUUUUCGUGUCCCUUGCAUUCAUGAAAAUAUAGAAUUCUUCACACAGUCCCAGGUGAGGCAGGCACUAGACAAAUAAUUUCAUAAUUAUUAUGGUUGAAUUUUAGUUGCUUAUAACUUUGGCAACAGCCAAAUCAUGAAAAGCAUAGCAGUGUUAAAACAGCUCUUUGUAGUUACCAUUCUGCAUCUUCUAUUUGCUUGCAAAUCUUUCAUUAAUGAAUCUCCUAGUAUUACAGUGCUGUUUCUUAAAAAAAUAAUAUGAAAGCAAAUAUGCAACUGCCUCAGGUUAUAGGAGGAAAAAAACCUCUGCAAAUCAAGGGACAAAAUUCUGUCACAUGGGCAGAAUUUUUCAGAAGCAUCCUGAGCCAUAUGUGUGCUUUUUGGUGUGAAAUUGAUAACAUAGGCUUGCAGCAGGCACGACAUACAACUAGGAUACAUGAAGCCUUACUCCAAACCACUCUACUAUUCAUACUGUUGGCCCUCGUCAGUAGCAAACCUUCAAGGCCUUUUCCUGCAAAGCUAUAAGGAGAAGUUUGAAUCCUGAGCUGCAGUCCAGCCUCCUUUAAAGCUCUAUUUAGUCUCUAAAACCCUGACACAUAACACCCUUUCCUGUUGGUCCAAUGCCCAGUUCAGCAGGUGUUAUCAGUACAAAACAGAGGGCAAGUCCAGAGUACUAGAGGCUCUGCAGAACAUGAUAAGGUUGCACAUCAGGUUUCAACAUGACCCACCAUGGCAGAACUCAAAUAUUCUGAUAUGAAAACCAUGUGUUUAGUGGUCCCCAAACACCUAUUUGAGAAUUUCCAUUCUUGUAAGCAAAAUAUGUUACACUACUUCAGAAAUAGCAAGAGGGACAAAAACAACUUGGCAAUAUGGAGGUACUGAAUGCUGUAGCAUCCCUCCACUGUUUAACAUCCAGGUAAUUUUCCCAUGCAAUUUUCAUACUUGGGUCCCAAUUCAGACUUUCUAAAGAGAUACAGAAUUUCUGAAAAAUCCAGCAGAGAUGGGGAGAGUCCCCCAGAGACAAGAAUUCUCCAGGAAACGAGAAGGAACAGGUAACAGGCAACUUGGAAAUCUUCCCAAUUCAAUGGGACAUUCCUUUAAACAACUGCACAGGUGAAAAUCUUCAGAAAUUCAAUAUACCCAGAAAGAAACCUCUGGGUUUCUCAAGAUGUGCAAGAAAGAACUUUUCACAGUGAAACACCACCAUAAAUGGUAAUCAAUCACCCCCCCCGGAGGAUGACCUGAACGAUAAACAGGAGAAAUCUUCAGUUGAUCCCAAAUUCAGUAUUGAUGCAAACAAAAUCCUCUCAUGUGAAAACAGAACCUGAGUCAACAUAUGGCAGGUGCACAGACUGACACAGGGUCUCACCUGGGCUCUUCUGCACAAAGGUAUAAAUGUGGAUCCGGGUUCCAGUGCUUCCUGCAUCAAACAUUAUGCCAUAAAAAGUGUUGGUCUUGGCAUUUAUAGGGCACGUGUUAGGUGGGAAGAGAUCCUGAAACCACAUCUCCCUAUUUGAAUGGGAAAGAACAGGGGACAAAGAAGAAAAGACCA